AUGGAAGAGGACCAUGUUGCAGAUCAAGAAAUGGCUCCUGAAUCCAUGGAAUCCGAUGAAGCAUCAACCUCUACUAGAACCAACUCAUCUCAAAUUGGUUUUGGCGGUGUGAAAAAAAUACCAUAUACCAUUCAAAAAGUAGGAGAACGAACUAUAAUGAAAAAUAAUGCUAUCGAUGUAAACUACAAUAUUCGGUUUAAUGCAGAAAACCCUGAACAAGGAAUGAGGCUGACUGAUCUGCUUCGUGAAUUAGAAGAUAUGUUUGACAACAUUCUCAAUGAAACAGCUCGAGGACUUGACCCUUUUUUGGAUCUUGGACGAGUCAUCAUUCAUCACAUGGGAUUGUACAAUCCUGUGUAUGUACCACUAAGGCCCUUGAAAGAUCUUACUGGAAAAAGUGUGAUGGAGAACUUACAAAAUGUCUUAAACAGCCAUGAAAAUCUUUCUCUAGAUAAAAGUUUUUAUUUAAAUGUGGGGUUUAUUAAAGUUCCAAAGGGCGGUAUAGCAGGCAAAAAUAUUAACAAAGUUGGUGGCGGCAAUGAUUCUCUCAGAAUCAAAAGAUCAUGUAUCAAAAUUCAAAACACAGAUGAAUUAUGCCUUGCUCGAAGCAUUUGCAUGGGGUUUCUCAAAUUACAUCAAAUUCCAACAUCUGAAUGGCAGAAAUUAGCACACCAAAGUGACAAAGGAACAAUAGAAGAAAAAGUAAUGGAAUUGCGGAAAUGUCCUAUUUGGUUCUACAAAGAAUUAAUGAAGCACAACAAAACAAAUAAUGAACGUCAAAAAAAAUUAGCCAUUUUGUUAUGCCAGAAAGCCAAUGUAAGCAGUGAGAGACGUCUGUCCAUUCAAGACAUUUAUGCUUUUGAGAACGUAUUGAAUGUUGAUAUUCUAGUUGUCAGUGCCACUACUGGUAACAAAUUCAUACGAACUGUUCCAAAAGAUAUAGAUGCAAAAGAAAACCAGAGGAUCAUAUUUGCGGAGAAUGGCAGUGUGAAGCAUGUAAACGAUUUGUAA
rnacentral:sRNA from 1 species